rnacentral:rRNA from 1 species
CACGUAGGGGGCAAGCGUUGUCCGGAUUUAUUGGGCGUAAAGAGCUCGUAGGCGGUUCGGUAAGUCGGGUGUGAAACCUCCAGGCUCAACCUGGAGACGCCACCCGAUACUGCUGAGACUCGAGUCCGGUAGGGGAGCGUGGAAUUCCUGGUGUAGCGGUGAAAUGCGCAGAUAUCAGGAGGAACACCAGCGGCGAAGGCGGCGCUCUGGGCCGGAACUGACGCUGAGGAGCGAAAGCGUGGGUAGCAAACAGG